AUUGCUUCUCGGCCUUUUGGCUAAGAUCAAGUGAAGUAUCUAUUCUUGGUUUUUUUUUUUUCUCGUUUUUUUUUUUUUGGCAAGGAAUAUUGGCCCUGAGCUAACAUCUAUGCCAAUCUUCCUCUAUUUCCUAGGUGGGACACUGCCAC
rnacentral:snRNA from 1 species